UUCGAUUCCCGGCUGGUGCAUCUAGUAGCAUGUGAGCAGUGAUGAAAAUAUCUUGAGCUGUGGUGAUGAAUCUUCGGAUAUGAUAUUAACCUCGCUAUAAUCUGAGCUCACU
rnacentral:sRNA from 1 species